rnacentral:lncRNA from 1 species
UUUUCUUUUUGGUGUGUAUUGGUGGGUUAUAUGGAAGGCAUGUCUUCCAUGUCUUCAGUUGCUCUCUUCCUGUCUGUCUCUGCUUCCCCAGCUUUUUUGCUGGUUUUGGGGAUUGUGUUUACAUUCAAGGUACUUUAUUGACGAGCUGUCUCCAAUAUGAUUUUUUUUUUAAACUCUAGUAGGCUAAGCUUCCUGGAAUUCAACAUAUAGUUUAAGAUGACAUUAAAUUUAUGGUGAUCCACCUACUUCAGACUUUUAUUGACGAGCUGUCUCCAAUAUGAUUUUUUUUUAAACUCUAGUAGGCUAAGCUUCCUGGAAUUCAAUAUAUAGUUUAAGAUGGCAUUAAAUUUAUGGUGAUACACCUACUUCAGACUUUUUGUGUUCUGGGACUACAUAUGUGACCGUGCCUUCUAAUGCUUAAACAAAUAUUAUUUUUUUAUUUUCUUUCUUUGAGACAGAGUCUUGCUAUGUAGCCCAAGCUGGCCUAGUGUCUUUGUGGCUCAGGCUGGCUUUUAACUGUCUAUGUAGCCUAGGCUUGGGGUCCUCUUGCUCCUGUUUUUCAAAUGUUGGGAUUAUAGACCUGCACUCCCAUGUCUGGGCUACUUUUAAUUAUAACCUGCUAAGAGACUGUGCUUAUUAGGACUGAAAAUUUCAAAUUGUGAGUCAUAAUAAAUUCUAGUCUCAGACUAGUAGUUCUCCUGCCUCAGCUUUCCAAGUACUGGGAUUAAAGAUGCUGCUGAGCAUGGUGGCAUAUAUCUUCAAUCCCAGCAUUUCCAGGAGCAGAGGCAGAAGUAGGUGGAUCUCUGGAAGAGCCAGCCAGGGCAACAUUGUGAGAAGGGUGUGGGGGGUAGGGGUGGAUGUGGGGAGAAAGAUGUGUUAGCACAUCUGGCUCAAGACUCUUUACAAUUUUUUGAAAUAGCAAUGUGUAUACAUGUGUUUGUGCACAUGAGUUUUGUGUGGGAGUUAGUGCCCCACAUGUAUAUAAUAAAUGCUUGGUGCCUGUGGAGGUCAGAAGAUGGCAUCAUAUCCUCUGGAACUAGUUUUAUAGACCAUGUAGAUGUUUGGAAUUGAACCUGGGUCCUCUUCAAGGUCCUCUAGCUCCUUGAGUCAUUCUUUUCUUUUUCUUUUCUUUUUUCUUUUUUUUUUUGGUUUUUCGAGACAGCAUUUCUCUGUAUAGUCCUGGCUGUCCUGGAACUCAGAAAUCCACCUGCCUCUGCCUCCCAAGUGCUGGGAUUAAAGGCGUGUACCACCACGCCCGGCUACCUUGAGUCAUUCUUAAAUAGUGCUCUUCCUUUAUUUUGGUUUUUAGUGUCUUAGAGCAAAGACUGGGACUGAUGGUAGCAGUUGUUUAGAUUCUAGUAGGUGAACAUGUUUGUUGGGUACCCACAAAUAUGGUAAAUGAUGUAUAACAGCUUUAAAUCUUUUUUUAGAAAGGGUUUUGCUCUAUAUUCAGGCUGUCUUUGAACUUUGGAGCCCAAGCAGGCCUCAAUUCACCAUCCUCCUGACUUAGCCUUCCAAAUGUUGGGAGGUACUUACCACCAUGCCUGGCUUUAAAAUUUUUUAUU